GCCUCAGCUCUGUCAGCAUCUCUCCAGGGUCUCUCUCUCACAUUUCCCAGUCCUCACAGCGCCAGGGACAUCUCUUGCUGCUAUUAUUAGCGUGUCUAUUUUCACCUCUCUUGGCCAGCGAAUUACAGAGAGAAGUGGAGACGAGACAGAGAGAUCUUUCAUCUGCUGAUUCACUCCCCAAAUGACCUCAGAGCUGGAGCUGAGUUGAUCCGAAACCAGGAUCCAGGAACUUCUGGAUCUCCCACGGAGUGCUUGGGUUUCCCUACACCAGGUGUGGUUAAGAAAAGUCUCUUGAGCUGCCAGAGGGGAUGCUUGUUCUUUCUGGUUCUUUGGGAGAGCUUUCCUUGCUACCAUAGACUUGGAGAAAUCUGCUGGCCAGCUGCCUUCUUUCACCAUCACUUCCCGAUAAAUUAAGGAAGCAGAUUACAGAACUUCCUUGGCUGUGGUGACAUAUGAAUCCUUGGUAUGCUGCUACCAGUUUCUAUGUUGAAAAGUUUUUAAAUCUUCAGCCUAAGAGGUAGUAUUUCAGCCGCCUUGAGUCACGCACCACCUUGGCUUCAUUAGAAACGCCCCCGAUCAGCAAUGGAAAAGAAAGGGUACAUACUGCAGUUUCAAUUGUUGUGGGACUCAGGUUUUCCCUCAGCACUGCAUAUACACUUGGAGAC